UACGUAGGGGGCAAGCGUUGUCCGGAUUUAUUGGGCGUAAAGGGUGCGUAGGCGGUUUGGUAAGUCUGAUGUGAAAUCUAUGGGCUCAACUCAUAGUCUGCAUCGGAAAACUGCCGGGCUUGAGUGUGGGAGAGGUGAGUGGAAUUCCUGGUGUAGCGGUGAAAUGCGUAGAUAUCAGGAGGAACACCUGUGGCGAAAGCGGCUCACUGGACCAUAACUGACGCUGAUGCACGAAAGCUAGGGGAGCAAACAGG
rnacentral:rRNA from 1 species